rnacentral:rRNA from 1 species
GGUCCGCACUGGUGUGAUGGAUUCCUACCUUCUGAAUAACCAGCAUGUCAUUAAUUUGGUGCGUUGGGGAAGCAGGACUGUUACCUUGAAAAAAUUAGAGUGCUUAAAGCAGGCUAGUGCCUGAAUACAUUAGCAUGGAAUAAUGAAAUAGGACGGCAUGGUUCUAUUUUGUUGGUUUCUAGGAUCACCGUAAUGAUUAAUAGGGAUAGUUGGGGGCAUUAGUAUUCAAUUGUCAGAGGUGAAAUUCUUGGAUUUAUUGAGGACUAACUUCUGCGAAAGCAUUUGCCAAGGAUGUUUUCAUUAAUCAAGAACGAAAGUUAGGGGAUCGAAGACGAUCAGAUACCGUCGUAGUCUUAACCAUAAACUAUGCCGACUAGGGAUCGGACGAUGUUAAUUUUUUAAUGACUCGUUCGGCGCCUUACG